rnacentral:rRNA from 1 species
GAUGAACGCUGACAGCAUGCUUAACACAUGCAAGUCGAUGGGGAAGUGGUGCUUGCACCAUGGUAACCAUGGCGGACGGGUGAGUAACGCGUAAGGAACUUGCCUGCGGGACUGGGAUAACAGCAGGAAACUGCUGAUAAUACCGGAUAAGGUCAUUAAGCUGCAUAGCUUAGUGAUGAAAGGAGACGCCUGCGGAGAGCCUUGCGUCCUAUUAGCUAGUUGGAGGGGUAACGGCCCACCAAGGCGAAGAUAGGUAGCCGGCCUGAGAGGGUGGACGGCCACAAGGGGACUGAGAUACGGCCCUGACUCCUACGGGAGGCAGCAGUGGGGAAUAUUGGACAAUGGGGGCAACCCUGAUCCAGCAAUUCUGUGUGCACGAAGACGGUUUUCGGAUUGUAAAGUGCUUUCAGCAGGGAAGAAGGAAGUGACGGUACCUGCAGAAGAAGCGACGGCUAAAUACGUG